rnacentral:rRNA from 1 species
GACGAACGCUGGCGGCGUGCUUAACACAUGCAAGUCGAACGGAAAGUCCCUGCUUUUGUGGGGUGCUCGAGUUGCUAACUGGUGAGUAACACGUUAGUAACCUGCCCUUUACUUUGGGAUAACUUCAGGAAACUGGGGCUAAUACCGGAUAGGAGCUCCUGCUGCAUGGUGGGGGUUGGAAAGUUUCGGCGGUUGGGGAUGGACUCGCGGCUUAUCAGCUUGUUGGUGGGGUAGUGGCUUACCAAGGCUUUGACGGGUAGCCGGCCUGAGAGGGUGACCGGCAACAUUGGGACUGAGAUACGGCACAGACUCCUACGGGAGGCAGCAGUGGGGAAUAUUGCACAAUGGGCGGAAGCCUGAUGCAGCAACGCCGCGUGCGGGAUGACGGCCUUCGGGUUGUAAACCGCUUUCGCCUGUGACGAAGCGUGAGUGACGGUAAUGGGUAAAGAAGCACCGGCUAACUACGUG